AGAGUUUGAUCCUGGCUCAGGACGAACGCUGGCGGCGCGCCAAUACAUGCAAGUCGAGCGAGAAAGUUUCCUUCGGGAAGCGAGUAGGGCGGCGAACGGGUGAGUAACGCGUAGAUAAUCUACCUUUGGGCUUGAGAUAACCCUGGGAAACUGGGGCUAAUACCGAAUGAAGCUUAUUGCUUGGCGUAAUAAGUUAAAGGGGCUUUGGUUCCGCCUGGAGAUGAGUCUGCGUUCUAUCAGCUAGUUGGUGGGGUAAGAGCCUACCAAGGCUUAGACGGAUAACUGGUCUGAGAGGAUGAUCAGUCACACUGGCACUGAGACACGGGCCAGACUCCUACGGGAGGCAGCAGUAGGGAAUAUUGCGCAAUGGGCGAAAGCCUGACGCAGCGACGCCGCGUGAGUGAUGACUGCCCUAUGGGUUGUAAAGCUCUGUAAGGAGGGAAGAACAUCUUAUCGUAACGGGUAAGACUGACGGUACCUCCAAAGUAAGCACCGGCUAAAUACGUGCCAGCAGCCGCGGUAAUACGUAUGGUGCGUGCGUUGUCCGGAAUGACUGGGCGUAAAGGGUGCGUAGGCGGACUGACAUGUCAGGUGUGAAAUCCCCGGGCUUAACCUGGGAACUGCGCUUGAAACUGUUAGUCUAGAGAGUGUCAGAGGUAAGCGGAAUUCCCGGAGUAGCGGUGAAAUGCGUAGAGAUCGGAAAGAACACCGGUGGCGAAGGCGGCUUACUGGGGCACAACUGACGCUGAGGCACGAAAGCGUGGGGAGCGAACGGGAUUAGAUACCCCGGUAGUCCACGCUGUAAACGAUGAAUACUAGAUGUCGGGUUCGCUAAAGAACUCGGUGUCGGAGCUAACGCAAUAAGUAUUCCGCCUGGGGAGUACGGUCGCAAGAUUAAAACUCAAAGGAAUUGACGGGGGCCCGCACAAGCGGUGGAGCAUGUGGUUUAAUUCGAUGCAACGCGCAGAACCUUACCCGGUCUUGACAUCCUUCGGACGAUCUUUAGAGAUAGAGAUUUCUUCUUCGGAAGCUGAAGUGACAGGUGCUGCAUGGCUGUCGUCAGCUCGUGUUGUGAGAUGUUGGGUUAAGUCCCGCAACGAGCGCAACCCUUGUUUUCAGCUGCCAUCAUUAAGUUGGGCACUCUGAAAAGACUGCCGAGGUUAACUCGGAGGAAGGCGGGGAUGACGUCAAGUCCUCAUGGCCCUUAUGACCGGGGCUACACACGUGCUACAAUGGUAUAGAUAAAGUGAAGCUAAGCAGCAAUGUGGAGCGAAUCACAAAAACUAUAUCCUAGUUCGGAUUGGAGUCUGCAACUCGACUUCAUGAAGUUGGAAUCGCUAGUAAUCGCAGAUCAGCAUGCUGC
rnacentral:rRNA from 1 species